CCAGCAUGGAGGAAAAGAACUAACAAGGAUUCCCCUAGUAACGGCGAGUGAAGCGGGAUGAGCUCAAAUUUGUAAUCUGGCGGUCUCGCGGCCGUCCGAGUUGUAAUCUGGAGAAGCGUUUUCGGUGCCGGUCCGCGUACAAGUCCCCUGGAACGGGGCGUCGCAGAGGGUGAGAAUCCCGUCUUUGACGCGGUCCGCCGGUGCCGUGCGAUGCGCUCUCGAAGAGUCGAGUUGUUUGGGAAUGCAGCUCAAAACGGGUGGUAAAUUCCAUCUAAAGCUAAAUACUGGCGAAAGACCGAUAGCGAACAAGUACCGUGAGGGAAAGAUGAAAAGCACUUUGGAAAGAGAGUCAAACAGUACGUGAAAUUGUUGAAAGGGAAACGCUUGAAGUCAGUCGCGUCUCUCGGGACUCAGCCGGGUUGGUUCUCGGUGUAUUUCCCGAGUCUGGACGGGCCAGCAUCGGUUUCGACCGUCGUAAAAAGGCGUGAGGAACGUGGCACCCUUCUGGGUGUGUUAUAGCCUCUCGUCGUAUGUGACGGACGGGACCGAGGAACGCAGCGCGCCCCCCUUGAGGGGGGCCGGGGUUCGCCCACGUAACGCGCUUAGGAUGCUGGCGUAAUGGCUUUAA
rnacentral:rRNA from 1 species